rnacentral:piRNA from 1 species
UUAAAUAAUCGUAAAUCGUAA